GAAUGUUGCAUUUGGUGCAUCAUAUCAUGACAUGCAUGUCAACGACCAAUUCUCCCUUGCGGUUGAGAGAGUCGUUGACCAGGGCCGCAUCCUCGGGCACUUGAGAGAGUGGUAGCUAGAGUUGAUGCUGCUUGUCCUGUCGCGCCGCACUUGGCCACGCUUGGAUAGUGGUAGCUGGAGUUGCGAGCAGCAGGGACCCCCUUCGCUAUGUAGCUAGUUAGUUACUCAACACCUAUCCACUCGGUCACUUGAGAGUAGUGGCGACCUUUGAGUGGUACAGUUGUCAUCGAUCCGGCCUCUCAACCAUACAGGGGUCGUGGUGCAGAGAGGUGGGCGGGAUGACCAUCCGUGCAUGCGCUAUUAUUAUUAUAUUUGCUGAUGUUGUUGUCGCUACUUUUGUUCCUGUUACUAGCUUAUGCUAUUUUUGCUUGCUUCUACUGUUGGUACUAGUUUAUGUGGUUGUUGCUUACUUAUGUUGAGAUAUACACUCGUUGUAGGGGUUUAGACUCUGGUUUAUUUAUUGGCAAAAUAGAUACAUCUCACUUAUUAUCUCUAUAGUUAUGAGCAGUAUUGUAGCAGGUUAGUACUACUUCUGGCCUUCUAUUACCUAGCCUAGGAUAUGGAUUCAGGUAGCAGUAGAUGAUUCAUGGAUGCUUGGAGAGAUGUCGGCUGCCAGUCUUGGGUCCUGCGUUAUAUCGGCUUUAUUUCCGCUUUACUGGUUUUUAUAGUAUACAGCGAUUUUAGUAUUGUAUGAAUUGGUCUGUGUUUGGAGUUUAAUUCGCGGUGUUUUGCUUUCAUGAUCUUGUGGUUGUGUAAGCCUAAUCGGCUAGUAAACUUUAGUUGUGGAUUGUGGGGGUUCUCUUCGUUUUUCCGCUGUGUUUUUGAUACAGCCGUGUGGGCUAAAUAUUAACUACAUGGUUGUUUUAUUCAUUUA